rnacentral:rRNA from 1 species
GAUGAACGCUGGCGGCGUGCCUAAUACAUGCAAGUCGAGCGAACGGACGAGAAGCUUGCUUCUCUGAUGUUAGCGGCGGACGGGUGAGUAACACGUGGAUAACCUACCUAUAAGACUGGGAUAACUUCGGGAAACCGGAGCUAAUACCGGAUAAUAUUUUGAACCGCAUGGUUCAAAAGUGAAAGACGGUCUUGCUGUCACUUAUAGAUGGAUCCGCGCUGCAUUAGCUAGUUGGUAAGGUAACGGCUUACCAAGGCAACGAUGCAUAGCCGACCUGAGAAGGUGAUCGGCCACACUGGAACUGAGACACGGUCCAGACUCCUACGGGAGGCAGCAGUAGGGAAUCUUCCGCAAUGGGCGAAAGCCUGACGGAGCAACGCCGCGUGAGUGAUGAAGGUCUUCGGAUCGUAAAACUCUGUUAUUAGGGAAGAACAUAUGUGUAAGUAACUGUGCACAUCUUGACGGUACCUAAUCAGAAAGCCACGGCUAACUACGUG